UUGAUUUAUUCAAAAUUUUAACUCAGACGACCGGUUUGUAUUAACAAGAGUUUGGUUUAACUCUGGCGGGCGCUCGCCACGGGGGACGGAUCCCCCCGGCGGCUCGGGGACCGAGCGGUCCCGCCAAAGCAACAAGGUAGUUUUAACAACAAAGGGUUGGAGGUCGGGCGCUGAGCACCCUUACUCUUUAAUGAUCCUUCCGCAGGUUCACCUACGGAAA
rnacentral:misc_RNA from 1 species